UACGUAGGGGGGCAAGCGUUGUCCGGAUUUAUUGGGCGUAAAGAGCGUGUAGGCGCCAGACAGGUCAGCUGUGAAAACUCGAGGCUCAACCUCGAGACGUCGGUUUGAAACCGUCUGGCUAGAGUCCGGAAGAGGAGAGUGGAAUUCCCGGUGUAGCGGUGAAAUGCGCAGAUAUCGGGAAGAACACCCGUGGCGGAAGGCGGCUCUCUGGGACGGUACUGACGCUGAGACGCGAAAGCGUGGGGAGCGAACAGG
rnacentral:rRNA from 1 species